rnacentral:rRNA from 1 species
ACGCACGCUGGCGGCGUGCUUAACCCAUGCAAGUCGGACGGAAAGGCCCUGCAUUUGUGGGGUGCUCGAGUGGCGAACGGGUGAGUAGCACGUGAGUAACCUGCCCUUGACUUUGGGAUAACUUCAGGAAACUGGGGCUAAUACCGGCUAGGAGCUCCUGCUGCGUGGUGGGGGUUGGAAGGUUUCGGCGGUUGGGGAUGGGCUCGCGGCCUAUCAGCUUGUUGGUGGGGUAGUGGCUUACCAAGGCGUUGACGGGUAGCCGGCCUGAGAGGGUGACCGGCCACACUGGGACUGAGACACGGCCCAGACUCCUACGGGAGGCAGCAGUGGGGAAUAUUGCACAAUGGGCGGAAGCCUGAUGCAGCAACGCCGCGUGAGGGACGACGGCCUUCGGGUUGUAAACCGCUUUCGGCUGGGAAGAAGCGAGAGUGACGGUACCUGGAGAAGAAGCACCGGCUAACUACGUG